UGAUGACACCGUCUCUGGAAUCUCUGCAACUCCCAUGAUGACGGAGUUUUGAACCCUUUUCCAGCUGAUGACUGUUGUUCCUCCGC
rnacentral:snoRNA from 1 species